rnacentral:rRNA from 1 species
GUUAAACGGCCGCGGUACCCUAACCGUGCGAAGGUAGCGCAAUCACUUGUUCUUUAAAUGAGGACUAGUAUGAACGGCAUCACGAGGAUUACACUGUCUCCCUCCCCCAAUCAAUGAAACUGAUCUCCCCGUGAAGAAGCGGGGAUAAACAUAUAAGACGAGAAGACCCUAUGGAGCUUUAAACACACCACUACUUAUCUAAAUCUACUUCAUCCAAGACAGAUAAAACUACUGUGCGUUUUCAGUUGGGGUGACUGCGGAGCAUAAUAAAACCUCCACGAUGAAAAACCAAUCCAAGAACAACAGUUCAAAGAAUCAAUAAAUUGACAUCAAUUGACCCAAAUAAAAUAAUUUGAUCAACGAACCAAGUUACCCUAGGGAUAACAGCGCAAUCCAUUUCAAGAGCUCAUAUCGACAAAUGGGUUUACGACCUCGAUGUUGGAUCAGGGUAUCCCAGUGGUGCAGCCGCUACUAAAGGUUCGUUUGUUCAACGAUCAAAACCC